GAUGAAGAACGCAGCGAAAUGCGAUAAGUAGUGUGAAUUGCAGAAUUCAGUGAAUCAUCGAAUCUUUGAACGCACAUUGCGCCCUUUGGUAUUCCAAAGGGCAUGCCUGUUCGAGCGUCAUUUGUACCCUCAAGCUUUGCUUGGUGUUGGGCGUCUUGUCUCUAGCUUUGCUGGAGACUCGCCUUAAAGUAAUUGGCAGCCGGCCUACUGGUUUCGGAGCGCAGCACAAGUCGCACUCUCUAUCAGCAAAGGUCUAGCAUCCAUUAAGCCUUUUUUUCAACUUUUGACCUCGGAUCAGGUAGGGAUACCCGCUGAACUUAAGCAUAUCAAUAAGCGGGAGGA
rnacentral:misc_RNA from 1 species